rnacentral:rRNA from 1 species
UAAACCGGGAUUAGAUACCCCGUUAUAUAGGGGGGGUUUAAAGGGGGGGUAGUAACGGCUAUGGUCCCCAAACCCAAAGAACUUGGCGGCAGCUCACCCAACUAGAGGAACCUGCCCCGUAACCGAUACCACCCGUUAGCCCAACCCUCCAUAUGUAUGUAUACCGCCGUCUAACCUUUAACUUCUAGGUUAAGGUGAUAUGGUUGCCCACAAAGACAGGUCGAGGUGCAGCGUAUUGGGGGGGGGAGGUGGGUUACAAUCCCUAUGGGGCGGACCCCUUCUUUACAGGGGGGGUUAAGAUGGAUUUAGAGGUAGCGGGGGGUUAAUAUCCCCCUGUGAAUUGGAUUUGGGCCGUGUACAUAUCGCCCGUCACUCUCAAUAAACUUGAGAU